GGGAACGGUGCCGGGGGAGGCAUAAUCAGCCUCAGGUGGGACUAAUCAAGCUGUGUAUUCUACCUUUAAGUAGGAGAAAUCUGGCGCCAGCGAGGGAGUGCUGAGAGGAGGCUGGAGCGACAACAACGGCUGUACGACAGAGGGGCCAGGCUGCGACGAUUCACACCGGGAGAAAAAGUACUUGUAUUACUUCCUACUUCCAACUCUAAACUCCUAGCCAAGUGGCAACGGCCCUUCGAGGUCACACGGCAGGUGGGGGACGUCGACCACGAGGUGGUGUGGUCUGACGGGGGCGGGGGUACACAGAUAUACCACCUGAACCUCCUGAAAGCCUGGAGGGGAGUGGAGUCUGUCUCUCUGGUCUCUACAGUAUCGGAAAGGGAGGAGCUGGGGCUGGAGGUUCCAAAAGCAGGCCGGACCGACCUCAUACACAGUAUCGAGAAGCCCCCGGGCGUGACUGUGAGGUCACUACCCUACAGGUUGCCCGAACACAAGAAAGAAGUGGUUCGGAGGGAAUUGGUAAGUAUGUUGGAGUUGGGUAAUAGAGUCCAACAGUGCCUGGUGCAGCCCCAUCGUCCUUGUGGCUAAGAAGGAUGGAUCCGUACGGUUCUGCGUGGACUAUCGCCCCGGGUCGACGAGCUCCUGGACCGGCUAGGCACUGCACGUUUCUUCACGACACUGGAUUUAACCAAGGGCUACUGGCAGAUUCCUCUGUCGCCAGAGUCCAAGGAGAAAACGGCAUUCUCCACCCCGUACGGAGAAAUCCGGCGACGCUGAGAGAGGCGAGGAGGCUGGAGCUGUGUGUUA
ensembl:lncRNA